rnacentral:rRNA from 1 species
UGGGGAAUCUUCCGCAAUGGACGCAAGUCUGAUGGAGCAACGCCGCGUGAGUGAAGAAGGUCUUCGGAUCGUAAAACUCUGUUGUUAGAGAAGAACACGAGUGAGAGUAACUGUUCAUUCGAUGACGGUAUCUAACCAGCAAGUCACGGCUAACUACGUGCCAG